rnacentral:rRNA from 1 species
AAUCAUGGCUCAGGAUGAACGCUAGCGACAGGCCUAACACGUGCAAGUCGAGGGGCAGCGGAGAGGUAGCAAUACCUUUGCCGGCGACCGGCGCACGGGUGAGUAACACGUAUGCAAUCCACCUGUAACAGGGGGAUAACCCGGAGAAAUCCGGACUAAUACCCCAUAAUAUGGGCGCUCCGCAUGGAGAGCCCAUUAAAGAGAGCAAUUUUGGUUACAGACGAGCAUGCGCUCCAUUAG